CCUAUCACAUUGAAACACCGGUUCUCAUAUGAUCACUAAAGUUAAGCAACAUCGAGCUUGGUCAGUACCUAGAUGGGUGACCACUUUGGAAUACCUGUUGCUGUAAG